GUAAUCAGGGAAUUACCUGGAUAUCUACUUUCGGUUUCCUUGUUCUUUGUUGUUGUAAUUAUGAAAUCUGCAAAUUUCAACUUGUCCUAGAAUGAAGAUAACAAUGUUUCUUUUUAUCAUCAUAUUUUGUCAGGUAUUUAGUUCUGGUUUUUCGUGUACUGAUUUACAACAAACAAUUACUAUUGUUCCGGAUUGCCCUCGUUCUGAGGCAGAGUGGAAUGUGGCAGCUAUACGUAAGAAAUGUGACUCUGUUUGUCCCACGUCAAGGUAUCACUGCCUCAUCACCAAUGAAAUGAAAGCUACCAUAGAAGUCUGCGCUGA